rnacentral:lncRNA from 1 species
GAGGUAGGGCUGUUGGAACAGUUUUCCCUGGCUGUGCUUUAGUCAUAUGCAUUUCCACAUGCGGCAGGGUUAAAAGAUUCAUCGCCCUUCCUGACUCUGCUUCACCCCAGUGUUUGAGAGCAGUGGUGGGGGACAGCGAGGGAAAAAGGAAGACAUUAAUACACAACGAGAAGCUGAAAGCAAAAGGCCAGCCCGUGCUGCAUGUUCCCACUUCUCGGCAACUUGCAGAUGGUGGAGCUGAACAUGGCAUAUCUUUGUCCAUCCUGGAGAUGCAGGCAUUGAAUAGUCCUUCUGGAUAUGCAGGUAUGUUCCCCCUUUGAUGCCUCUCUGUUUAUUGAUGCUGUAUCACCAUGCCUUGAAAUAUAGGUGGUAGCUCUAGUUAAGGGUGUGCCAUAGUUUAACCCCAGCCAUCAACAAAUGCCAGGCUGACACAGCCACGUGCUCUCGCCCCCCUACCAGUGGAACUGGAGAGAGAAUCAAAAGACUAAAGGCUAGAAAACUUGUGGGUUGUGAUAAAGACAGUUUCAUAGGUAAAGUGAAAGCUGUGCAUGUAAGCAAAGCAAAACAAGGUUCAGUCAACUCCAGGCAA